rnacentral:rRNA from 1 species
UACGUAGGGGGCAAGCGUUGUCCGGAAUCAUUGGGCGUAAAGCGCGCGUAGGCGGCCCGGUAAGUCCGCUGUAAAAGUCCAGGGCUCAACCCUGGAAUGCCGGUGGAAACUGUCGAGCUAGAGUCCGGAAGAGGCGAGUGGAAUUCCUGGUGUAGCGGUGAAAUGCGCAGAUAUCAGGAGGAACACCAAUGGCGAAGGCAGCUCGCUGGGACGUUACUGACGCUGAGACGCGAAAGCGUGGGGAGCAAACAGG